rnacentral:piRNA from 1 species
UCCAGAAUUGGGGAGAAAGUGGA